AUUUAAUUACUCAUUAUAUUUAAUAAAUAAUAAUUAUUAUGAAUGCAUCAUCAUUUAUUAAUAAACACCAAUUAAGAAUGUACUGUGCCAGGCCCUAGAGAUAGAGAUGAAAUCAAUCCCAUCCUCAAGAAGCUCUUGGGCUAAGGAGAGAACCAGAUAAGCAAAGCAAUUAUUUGAAAACAUGUGACCCAUACUCUCAGUAGGAUAAAUGUGCUUGACACUGUGACCAAGGAAGGUCUGGCCAUGGAAGAAGAGAGAGCCAGCAGGGGCUCAGGUGGACUUUGUUAAACCCGACUUUUAGGAGAGAGGAAGGACAGCCCAGCUUUGGAUGCUGGGUCCUUGUUGAAAAAUCUGUGUCGUGGAGAGAAAACUUCUCAGCAUAUGUGAAUUUCUCUUUGUCAGAGAAAGCUGACCCUGUAUGGAUGACAUCACCUGGGCUCUCCUGACUUCUGGUGUGUAGCUGAGUUUGACAACUGUAAGGACUAUAACCAAAAAGGACAUAAUUACUUUGAGGCCAAGGCAGGUAAGAGCCAGUGUGGCUCCUACAUUAAUCCGGAAGCAAAGACCUCCAAGAUGUCAUAGUUGCUAUUUGGAAGCAGCCCAGGUCCUUGAGCACCCUUGGAGGAAAGCUACCUUCCCAACCUCAGACUGUGACAUCAGCACGAAGUAAACGUUUGUCAGGAAAUUCAGCAACACAGUGACUUCUGAAAUGUUGUGCAUAGGAAGGAAAAGCCAAAGGAGUGCUUGGUGGCCCAAGCCUGAAAUGUGACCUAUUGAGCUUUUCUGAGGCAGUGAAGUCAGAGCAAUCCCUCAUCCUCCUACGCUGAGUGUGCAAGGCCUCAGCAGUUUGCAUUCUGUGGCUCUGUUGAGGAUGAACUCAAAGGUUGACAGAGAGCAAUAGUGUGGUGGCACAGGACCAUACUUUUGCCUGAGUACAUAAUGUCUCCCACUGCUGGGUGUAUAUGAAACUGCCCACGGAAAUCACUGCGGGACUGCCGUGGAAAGUCACUCUGCCAACCUGUCUGCGGGGGAACACCUUCGAGCAUGGAAUUGCAGUGAUGCCAAGGACCUCAACAGCAACUCCCUGACCUCGACAGAAAGAUGACUUACAGUCCCCUCUACUGACUACAGGCAUGAGGAUCGAGUCUGAAAACCUUGACCACAGGGAAGAGCAGAGACCUGAGGACUGUGGAGUCAUCUGGGCCAAUGCAGGAGGCAGAGAAGGAUGUUAUACCUCCAGUGUGCUCGUGUUCUCCCACAGGAAGAAGGUCUGAUAUUCUGGGACAAGGCAGUAAACAGUUCGGUACACAGUCUAGGUAUUCCUGAUGAGGCCACUUCCUCACACUUGUCCUGGAAGAAGGCAAACAUACAGAAGGAAAAAGUCCCUCCAUGAAAUGGAGCCAUAGCUCUGGCUACCCUUUCCAGGUAUAACCCUCAUUCAGGGACAAUGGAGAGGCUGGUGGGGCACAUCCGCCUCUGCCUCACCACUCUGUGCAUUUCCUUGCUUCAGUAAAAGCCAUUUCUGGACCUAUAUCAUGUGAUACUGAAGAAUUCAUUCUGACCUUCCUUGUAUGAGUAAUGGCAGCCUGGACAUGAAAGUCAUUAUUUCAAAAAGUCUAAUAGGCACUACAUUUAGCUAAGAUUACUCUGUACAAAUAAUUACUUAAUAAAUUUCCUUUUACUUACCAACUUGACAUUUCCCUGUAUGGCCCUGGAAGAUGACUGGUUAGCCAGAGACGGGUAAGAUUCCUCAAGGGAGGAACAACCUAAGACAGGCACAGUCGCAGGGGGGCCAUCAGGUGAGAAAUUGGGGAUCAACAGAGGUGAGGCUUAGAACCUCACCCCCCCGUUCUGAGAGAAAUCUUCUGCAUACGUGGAUGUUUUAUUGCCCUUGUCUAGCUUGGAUUAACACAUAGUCUACAGGCACACACCUGAUCAUCUACAUGUGCUCUCUUACAACACUAAACUAUGUUUUCUACCUUUAUCUUGUAUCUACCUACCACUUCAGCAUUUUAUUAAAAAUAAUAAUAAUAAAGAGAGAAAUGUGGUAUCCACAUAUAAAUCAAGUAUAAAAAUCAAACAAAUAUUCAUAUUUGACCUGAUUGUUUAUAGUUCAUGAUGCGUGAUCAAAACCGAAAGUUUCUGUGAUGACUGCCCUUGUACUGUUCACUAUGUAACUUAUUCAUUAUGUAAGAAUUUGUUCUCCAUGUAAGAACUUGUUCGUUAUGCUUCAAAAGAUUGGAGACUGACGAAAAUUAGGCUUGGGGUGGAUUAAUGAUUGUGCAUUGAGCAUUGACCCCCCUAUACAGAAUUUUAUUGUUGUCAACAACCAUUUGAUCAAUAAAUAUGA